UGUGUAUCAGUGUAUAUAUGAUUUUUUUUUUUUUUUUUGAGGUAAAUUGUGUGUGUAUAUAUAUGAUAUGAUGAUAUCUUUACACACACCAGCAUUACAUUAAUCUCGUCUGUGAAUGAAUGCCACCUCAAAAGAUAAAAUUUAUUUUCAUUUCAUCGCCUCUGGUUUUAGAUUUUCUACAAUCGAAACGCACAAUCGAGAGAGAGAGCGAGAGCUGACCAAGUGGUCUGAGUCUUCGUCUUUGCUUUUUCUCACAUCUUUGAUGUAGCACUAGCUGAAUUAUCUCAUACCCUCAGCCCAUUUUGUCUUUCUCUCUCUAUGUGUGUGUAUAGAUUAUAAUCAGUAAAAGCUAGCUAUCGUCCUGUGCACAAUCUCUAUCUUGUUCUGCAUCAGGUUAUAAUAAUUAUAUAUAUGUAUACAUAUAUGUAGGUUUAGACGAACUUUUGUGGAUACAAUUCCCUUCGGGAGGCAAUAGAUUUGAUGCCAAGAACGGAGAUUUAGAGGUUUUCAAGCACGUUAGAGGGUUUGGAAGGAAAACGCAAUUGACUUUUUUCUUACCUUGAUGCGUUUUGUGAUUGGGGGUAUACGUUCAUCACAGACAAAUAUAGGUUCUGACUUCUGAUUGAAGAUUUAGUCAGUAGGUUCACGAUUAGGGCAUUCCUGCUUGCUUAACUUUUGGAUUGCACUAGUUUCAGGAUUUGGGUUUUCAUUGGAGUGCUUCUUUUAUUGCGAGUAUGUGCUUCUUAAUCAGCGGUUUGUGAAAGAUUUGAGUUUUUUUGAGGUUGAUCAUUGUGAUUUGUUNUGCCGGCAUGAAUAGGUUGUACUUGUAUGAACUUGACAUUUCAUCCACAUGAAUCGUAAAAGUACAUGAAUUGUCAACAUUCCGAUAAUAUAUUAAUAAAAACAAACAAAAACAUAAUAAAAACAAAUAAACAAACUAUAUGCGCUCGACGCAUAUACUAAAAUGAUAAAAAAAAAUUGAUAAAUCCGCUAGGCGAAUUAUACUAUUUCCGAUGCAUAAACCUAUAUAAUUACAAUACAAUAAAGCGCUCUCAUCCCAUAUAUGUGCAUAACUCUAUACAAUGACUAUAUGCGUUCAACGCAUGAUGCUUUGUCAAAAUAAAUAAAGUUAAAUACUCCAUCCGUCCCACUGUAAGUGAGAUCUUUUUUUUUGGCACGGAAAUUAAGAAAAGUGUAUUUUGUGUGUAGGUGAAAAAGUGAAAAUGUGUUUAAAGGGAAAAACUUUUACCCAAAAAGGUAAGAGUCUCAUUUACAGUGGGACGCCCAAAAUAGAAAGAGUCUCAGAUACAGUGGGACGGAGGGAGUAGAAUACAAAUAUUAAUCACGAUACAAAUUAUACUAUAAUCACUGUUACAAUUUUUUUACUAUUAUCUGCAACACUCACAUACGUUCUCAUCAUCUAUACCAAACAAAGAUAAAAGUGAAUGGAUGUAGAAUGUGGAAGAUUUAGAAAAUAGAUAUAUUUGAUAGAUAAUUUUUCAAAUUUGUGAAGUUUUGCAUGAUGCUAAAAUAUGUCCUCACGAAGCAGCAUAAAAAUUAUAAUCAGAGUUGGAAAAGUUACUUACAUCUAAACACGAGUAAAACGCAACGCGAUGAGUUGUGUGUAUCAGUGUAUAUAUGAUUUUUUUUUUUUUGUAGGUAAAUUGUGUGUGUAUAUAUAUGAUAUGAUGAUAUCUUUACUACACACCGCAUUACAUUAAUCUCUCUGUGAUGAAUGCCACCUCAAAAGAUAAAAUUUAUUUUCAUUUCAUCGCCUCUGGUUUUAGAUUUUCUACAAUCGAAACGCACAAUCGAGAGAGAGAGCGAGAGCUGACCAAGUGGUCUGAGUCUUCGUCUUUGCUUUUUCUCACAUCUUUGAUGUAGCACUAGCUGAAUUAUCUCAUACCCUCAGCCCAUUUUGUCUUUCUCUCUCUAUGUGUGUGUAUAGAUUAUAAUCAGUAAAAGCUAGCUACUCGUCCUGUGCACAAUCUCUAUCUUAGUUCUGCAUCAGGUUAUAAUAAUUAUAUAUAUGUAUACAUAUAUGUAGGUUUAGACGAACUUUUGUGGAUACAAUUCCCUUCGGGAGGCAAUAGAUUUGAUGCCAAGAACGGAGAUUUAGAGGUUUUCAAGCACGUUAGAGGGUUUGGAAGGAAAACGCAAUUGACUUUUUUCUUACCUUGAUGCGUUUUGUGAUUGGGGGUAUACGUUCAUCACAGACAAAUAUAGGUUCUGACUUCUGAUUGAAGAUUUAGUCAGUAGGUUCACGAUUAGGGCAUUCCUGCUUGCUUAACUUUUGGAUUGCACUAGUUUCAGGAUUUGGGUUUUCAUUGGAGUGCUUCUUUUAUUGCGAGUAUGUGCUUCUUAAUCAGCGGUUUGUGAAAGAUUUGAGUUUUUUUGAGGUUGAUCAUUGUGAUUUGUUAGAAUGC
rnacentral:lncRNA from 1 species